CGGCACAGAGGGCAGCUACCUGGUGACAGGAUGCUAAUCUCGAAAACCGGUCUCAGUUCGGAUCGAAGUCUGCAACUCGACUUCGUGAAGCUGGAUUCGCUAGUAAUCGCGCAUCAGCCAUGGCGCGGUCGAAUACGUUCCCGGGCCUU
rnacentral:rRNA from 1 species